GGAGUAAAGAGAUUUGGGUAUGGUGAUAGAUACAUAUGUCAUUGUGAUGGAGGAGAUUGUCAAGCUGAUAACGGUAUCUGUUCUAGUGGUAACUGCCAGAAAGGAUGGUACGGUUCUUCAUGCCAAAAAGAAAAUGUCGCCUUAAACAAACAGACGUGGCAGAGUUCAACCUAUUAUGACCAGAAUCUGUUACGACAUUCUAGUUAUGCUGUAGAUGGUGAUACUAAUCAUAGCAAGGAAUAUAAUUACUGUACCCAUACUGGUGUUGGCAGAACAAAUGCUUCAUGGGGAGUAGAUUUAAACCGAAAUUAUCCCAUUGAAAAUAUCAAAAUAUACGCAAGGAAUCACCAUAUUGGCAACAGAUUUGCAGGAUUCCGAUUAUUCGUAGAUGAACUUAACAAAACAAAUGAAAGUCCAUGUAGACCAGAAGAUGAUUAUAACAAUACAGUUGAUGGGUUUAUGGUAAAUUGUAACAGUGUAGGAAGAUAUGUUACUAUUACCAAUAACAAGUCUA